rnacentral:sRNA from 1 species
GUCCGAUCCGCCAAGUGAUGUAUGAUGC